ACAGAGCCCCAGGACCAGCUUGCUUAGGGGACUCUUCUCCAGGUUCAUCUCUCUGUAGGGUGUGUUUGUGAACAGAGCCCCAGGACCAGCUUGCUUAGGGAACUCUUCUCCAGGUUCAUCUCUCUGUAGGGUGUGUUUGUGAACAGAGCCCCAGGACCAGCUUGCUUUAGGGAACUCUUCUCCAGGUUCAUCUCUCUGUAGGGUGUGUUUGUGAACAGAGCCCCAGGACCAGCUUGCUUUAGGGGACUCUUCUCCAGGUUCAUCUCUCUGUAGGGUGUGUUUGUGAACAGAGCCCCAGGACCAGCUUGCUAAGGGAACUCUUCUCCAGGUUCAUCUCUCUGUAGGGUGUGUUUGUGUUUGUGAACAGAGCCCCAGGACCAGCUUGCUAAGGGAACUCUUCUCCAGGUUCAUCUCUCUGUAGGGUGUGUUUGUGUUUGUGAACAGAGCCCCAGGACCAGCUUGCUAAGGGGACUCUUCUCCAGGUUAAUCUCUCUGUAGGUGAUGGCUCUGUAGGGUGUGUUUGGGAACAGAGCCCCAGGACCAGCUUGCUUAGGGGACUCUUCUCCAGGUUCAUCUCUCUGUGGGGUGUGUUUGUGUUUGUGAACAGAGCCCCAGGACCAGCUUGCUAAGGGGACUCUUCUCCAGGUUAAUCUCUCUGUAGGUGAUGGCUCUGUAGGGUGUGUUUGGGAACAGAGCCCCAGGACCAGCUUGCUUAGGGGACUCUUCUCCAGGUUCAUCUCUCUGUAGGGUGUGUUUGUGUUUGGGAACAGAGCCCCAGGACCAGCUUGCUUAGGGAACUCUUCUCCAGGUUCAUCUCUCUGUAGGGUGUGUUUGUGAACAGAGCCCCAGGACCAGCUUGCUUAGGGAACUCUUCUCCAGGUUCAUCUCUCUGUAGGGUGUGUUUGUGAACAGAGCCCCAGGACCAGCUUGCUUUAGGGAACUCUUCUCCAGGUUCAUCUCUCUGUAGGGUGUGUUUGUGAACAGAGCCCCAGGACCAGCUUGCUUUAGGGAACUCUUCUCCAGGUUCA